rnacentral:rRNA from 1 species
UACGGAGGGGACUAGCGUUGUUCGGAAUUACUGGGCGUAAAGCGCACGUAGGCGGAUUGGAAAGUUAGAGGUGAAUCCCGGGGCUCAACCCCGGAACUGCCUUUAAAACUCCCAGUCUUGAGUUCGAGAGAGGUGAGUGGAAUUCCGAGUGUAGAGGUGAAAUUCGUAGAUAUUCGGAGGAACACCAGUGGCGAAGGCGGCUCACUGGCUCGAUACUGACGCUGAGGUGCGAAAGCGUGGGGAGCAAACA